AAGGGGCAGCAUAAAUUACUUGCAAUUUGAUGAGCGACGGCGAACGGGUGCGUAACGCGUAUGCAACUUACCUUUUACUAGAGAGUAGCCAAGAGAAAUUUUGAUUAAUGCUCUAUGUUCUUAUUUACUCGCAUGAGUAAAUAAGCAAAGCUCCGGCGGUAAAAGAUGGGCAUGCGUCCUAUUAGCUUGUAGGUGAGGUAAUGGCUCACCUAAGCUCCGAUAGGUAGGGGUCCUGAGAGGGAGAUCCCCCACACUGGUACUGAGACACGGACCAGACUUCUACGGAAGGCAGCAGUAAGGAAUAUUGGACAAUGGAGACAACUCUGAUCCAGCCAUGCCGCGUGAAGGAAGACGGCCUUAUGGGUUGUAAACUUCUUUUAUACAGGAAGAAACCUUUCCACGUGUGGAAAGCUGACGGUACUGUACAGAAUAAGGAUCGGCUAACUCCGUGCCAGCAGCCGCGACUAAUACGUGAGGAUCCAAGCGUUAUCCGGAAUUCAUUGGCGUUCUAAAAGGGUCCGCAG
rnacentral:rRNA from 1 species